GAACGAAGAGACGGGCACUGAGCUAUACAUGAACCGCGACAGGCCGCGUAGCCUCGGCAGAAUAUACCUCUAGCCAUUGCUCUGUACCGAUCGAGAAUCUUGACACUAUUGGGACGACUGGCUAGGACGCGCUCCCGUGCCAUCUUCAGUUCAAAUAGCUGUAGUUUCCUCCGCAAUGCCCUGUUUUCUUUCUGGGUUUGAGUUAUUUCCAAACGAAACACUGCAUAGUCGUCGUCUACGAGUUUACAGAUCUCUGACACGGCUGCAUUCGCUAACACCUCCAUAAUGGAGGCUAUUUGAGUGUGAAAAACCAUACCGUCAGCCAUUGUUUGCUAACGUUAGCAGCUAGCAUUAAAUAGUUAUCACCAAUUCCUGUCUCCAACGUGUAUUAAAGACUACAUAGGCCAGCUCGGUGAUGUUGUCCCCUCGACCCUUGGCUGCGCCAGUCUGGGAAUCCAAGAUGGCCGCCCAGUCUCCUCUUUUAAUCUCCAGCCAACCACCUGAAGGAAGAGGUCAAUGCUCUCUGGUACGUCUUCUAUGGUCUCCUCUUUGACCAGCAGCAGAUCAGGCUUUCCAUCCACCAUGUCUACUGACUGUAAGAGAUACAGAGUGAGAGGAUGUUGAUUCAAGAAAUUUGAUAUGAGCACCCUGCUAUGGAGCAUCUUCUGAUGUAUUGUUAUGAGCACUACACAAACAUGUUAGGUGAUUUGAUACUAUGAAAACAUGUUAGUUGAGUUCAAUACUUGAUAGUAUUUAAUGGUUUAAUACAUGAAAACAUGGUCCCACACUUCAGACAAAAUUAAUCAAGACCACGGCCCGCAUCCACAAAGUGUCUCAGAGUAAAAGUUAUCCUACUCUUAUGGGUAAAAAUUAAAGCUAUGCUUGAAGAAUCUUUAGUCAUAAGAGUCCUACCUAGUCUACAGAUAUUUAGGAGAACUCAUGAGCUGUUCUAACUAGUUGAGUUUCCAGCAAGUGUCUAGAUAAUAGAAAAGGGCAGCGAGUCAGUGGUUCCUGCACCAUAGCCAAUUAUUUUGGAGUUGUUGAAAGAAUGUGUUGAUAUUUCUAUAUGAUCAAUCCAUAAAUAAUCUAGACCUACCUGCAACAGUAUCUCUCGCUUUUGACAAUAAUGUCACAUGAUAUGCCUAAAUUGUUUUAACCACUAGGCUAAUAAAUAAUCCCAAUUUUCUUUUGAUUAUGUCAAUAACCUA